rnacentral:tRNA from 1 species
UGUGCGUAAUUUAAAAAAAAUACCAAGCUGUGACCUUGACAACAGGAUAUGUUCCUCACACACCACUG